AUGGGCAAGAAGGGAAGCAGCUGGAUCACUGCACUCAAGAAGGCCUUCACCACAAACCCCAAGGACAAGCCAACAAAUGUGCAGCUGGUAGCGCAGUACCCGCAGCCGCCGCCGCCGCAGCCGCCGCAGCAGUACCGGGAGAGCGCGAGGGACAAGAAGCGAUGGGGGUUCGGGCGGUCGCGGCAGCACGCCGACCCGGCGCCGCUGAUGAGCAUCCCGCUGUACCGGCAGCCGAGCAGCAUCGAGAAGAUCCUGGGCGACGCCGAGAUGGAGCGGCAGUACUACGCCAGGCCGCCGGCGCAGUACCAGAUCGCCCCCGCCAAGCCCACCACCGCCACCGUCGCCGCCACGGCGCCGACCACGCCCGCGGCGCGCGAGCGCGAGCGGGAGUGGGGGCGUGAGCGCGAGCGGGAGCGGGAGCGCGAUGGCGGCGGCGACAAGCAGCAGCAGCACGCGGCGAUGCUCCAGCUGCCUGCGCCGCCGUCCUCGCCGCCGCCGCUCAUCCGGCGGUUCGACCACGACAGGGAGCAGCAGCAGAGGCUGCAGCGGCUGCAGCAGGGCAGGGCGGAGAUGGCCGAGUGGCGGCAGCCGCAGCAGCAUACCAGAACACGGGCGAGGCAGCGGGCCGUGGCGCCGGAGCAGGCCCGCGCGGCGGCCGUGGCGAUCCAGGCCGCGUUCCGGGGCUACUCGGCGCGCCGGAGCUACCGGUCGCUGCGGGGCCUGAUCCGGCUGCAGGCGGUGGUGCGCGGGCCCAGCGUGCGGCGGCAGACGGCGCACGCGAUGCGGUGCAUGCAGACGCUGGUGCGCGUGCAGGCCCAGGUGCGCGCCAGCCGCGUGGAGGCCAUGGAGCGACGCAACGACCGCCACGGCGCCAUGCUCCGGGACGGCCGCCGCUGGCGCUCCGGCUCGCAGGACGGCGGCAUGUGGGACGACAGCCUGCUGAGCCGGGACGAGGCGGACGCGAGGACGAAGCGCAAGGCGGAGGCCGUGAUGAAGCGCGAGCGAGCCCUCGCCUACUCCUACUCCCACCAGGUGAUGAAGUCGACGCCGAUGGCGGCCCACGCGAUCCUGGCUGACCUCCAGUCGGGCCGGAACCCAUGGUGGUGGUCGCCCAUCGACCGCAGCAGCCACGAGCGCGAGUACCCCCGCCACGUCGAGCCAGCUGUCAGCCGGCCCAGGCCCACGCUCGCCGUCGCGCGCCGCGAGAUGAGCAUGAGCAUGAUGACGCCCAUGUCCACGGCCGGGCACCGCGAGAUGAACAUGAUGACGCCGAUCUCGACGACGGCCGCGCACCGCCAGAUGAACACGAUGACGCCGAUCUCGACGACGGCCGCGCACCGCCAGAUGAGCAUGGCGACGCCGAUGACGACGGCCGCGAACACGCCGGCGCGGUCGGUGGUGUCGGCCUACUACAAGCAGCCCAGCAACAAGCCCGCGCGGGGCGCACGAGGAGCGGCGCCGCCGUCGAGCCACGGCGGCGGCAGCGUCCGCGACGACGAGAGCCUGACGAGCUGCCCGGCGUUCGGCGUGCCCAACUACAUGACGCCGACCAUGUCGGCGUCCGCCAAGGCCCGGGCGCGCGCGCACCUGCUGCAGCAGCAGCUGGACAAGGAGCGGCGCGCGGCGGAGCAGAAGCCCAGGUUCUCGUUCGGGCUCGGGCAGAGCAUCGGGAGCUGGGCCAAGAGCCCGUUCUGGCGGGGCGGCGGCGGCGGCGGGGAGCAGUCGGCCGCGCCGUCGCGGGUGGGCACGCCGGCGGCGUCCACGGCGGGCGGGGGCGGCCGCCACAAGCACCGGCGGUCCGUCAGCGGGCUCAGCGUCGACUCCACCGUGUCCAUGCCGGCCGGCGUCGGCCGUCGGUCGUUCAAGUAG
rnacentral:rRNA from 1 species